GGGUUGUGAGGUUAAGCGACUAAGCGUACACGGUGGAUGCCCUGGCAGUCAGAGGCGAUGAAGGACGUGCUAAUCUGCGAAAAGCGCCGGCGAGGUGAUAUGAACCUUUGACCCGGCGAUGUCCGAAUGGGGAAACCCAGUGUGUUCCGACACACUAUCGUUAACUGAAUACAUAGGUUAACGAGGCGAACCGGGGGAACUGAAACAUCUAAGUACCCCGAGGAAAAGAAAUCAACCGAGAUUCCCCCAGUAGCGGCGAGCGAACGGGGAGCAGCCCAGAGUCUGAAUCAGCUUGUGUGUUAGUGGAAGCGUCUGGAAAGUCGCACGGUACAGGGUGACAGUCCCGUACACGAAAAUGCACAGGUUGUGAACUCGAAGAGUAGGGCGGGACACGUGGUAUCCUGUCUGAAUAUGGGGGGACCAUCCUCCAAGGCUAAAUACUCCUGACUGACCGAUAGUGAACCAGUACCGUGAGGGAAAGGCGAAAAGAACCCCGGCGAGGGGAGUGAAAAAGAACCUGAAACCGUGUACGUACAAGCAGUGGGAGCACCUUCGUGGUGUGACUGCGUACCUUUUGUAUAAUGGGUCAGCGACUUAUAUUCUGUAGCAAGGUUAACCGUAUAGGGGAGCCGAAGGGAAACCGAGUCUUAACUGGGCGUUAAGUUGCAGGGUAUAGACCCGAAACCCGGUGAUCUAGCCAUGGGCAGGUUGAAGGUUGGGUAACACUAACUGGAGGACCGAACCGACUAAUGUUGAAAAAUUAGCGGAUGACUUGUGGCUGGGGGUGAAAGGCCAAUCAAACCGGGAGAUAGCUGGUUCUCCCCGAAAGCUAUUUAGGUAGCGCCUCGUGAACUCAUCUUCGGGGGUAGAGCACUGUUUCGGCUAGGGGGCCAUCCCGGCUUACCAACCCGAUGCAAACUACGAAUACCGAAGAAUGUUAUCACGGGAGACACACGGCGGGUGCUAACGUCCGUCGUGAAGAGGGAAACAACCCAGACCGCCAGCUAAGGUCCCAAAGUCAUGGUUAAGUGGGAAACGAUGUGGGAAGGCACAGACAGCCAGGAUGUUGGCUUAGAAGCAGCCAUCAUUUAAAGAAAGCGUAAUAGCUCACUGGUCGAGUCGGCCUGCGCGGAAGAUGUAACGGGGCUAAACCAUGCACCGAAGCUGCGGCAGCGACGCUUAUGCGUUGUUGGGUAGGGGAGCGUUCUGUAAGCCGUUGAAGGUGUGCUGUGAGGCAUGCUGGAGGUAUCAGAAGUGCGAAUGCUGACAUAAGUAACGAUAAAGCGGGUGAAAAGCCCGCUCGCCGGAAGACCAAGGGUUCCUGUCCAACGUUAAUCGGGGCAGGGUGAGUCGACCCCUAAGGCGAGGCCGAAAGGCGUAGUCGAUGGGAAACAGGUUAAUAUUCCUGUACUUGGUGUUACUGCGAAGGGGGGACGGAGAAGGCUAUGUUAGCCGGGCGACGGUUGUCCCGGUUUAAGCAUGUAGGCGGAACGAUUAGGUAAAUCCGGUCGUUUAUUAACGCUGAGGUGUGAUGACGAGGCACUACGGUGCUGAAGUAACAAAUGCCCUGCUUCCAGGAAAAGCCUCUAAGCAUCAGGUAACAUCAAAUCGUACCCCAAACCGACACAGGUGGUCAGGUAGAGAAUACCAAGGCGCUUGAGAGAACUCGGGUGAAGGAACUAGGCAAAAUGGUGCCGUAACUUCGGGAGAAGGCACGCUGAUAUGUAGGUGAAGCCCCUGCGGGUGGAGCUGAAAUCAGUCGAAGAUACCAGCUGGCUGCAACUGUUUAUUAAAAACACAGCACUGUGCAAACACGAAAGUGGACGUAUACGGUGUGACGCCUGCCCGGUGCCGGAAGGUUAAUUGAUGGGGUUAGCGGUAACGCGAAGCUCUUGAUCGAAGCCCCGGUAAACGGCGGCCGUAACUAUAACGGUCCUAAGGUAGCGAAAUUCCUUGUCGGGUAAGUUCCGACCUGCACGAAUGGCGUAAUGAUGGCCAGGCUGUCUCCACCCGAGACUCAGUGAAAUUGAACUCGCUGUGAAGAUGCAGUGUACCCGCGGCAAGACGGAAAGACCCCGUGAACCUUUACUAUAGCUUGACACUGAACACUGGUCCUUGAUGUGUAGGAUAGGUGGGAGGCUUUGAAGUGUGGACGCCAGUCUGCAUGGAGCCGUCCUUGAAAUACCACCCUUUAAUGGCUGGUGUUCUAACGUAGACCCGUGAUCCGGGUUGCGGACAGUGUCUGGUGGGUAGUUUGACUGGGGCGGUCUCCUCCCAAAGAGUAACGGAGGAGCACGAAGGUUAGCUAAUCCUGGUCGGACAUCAGGAGGUUAGUGCAAUGGCAUAAGCUAGCUUGACUGCGAGAGUGACGGCUCGAGCAGGUGCGAAAGCAGGUCAUAGUGAUCCGGUGGUUCUGAAUGGAAGGGCCAUCGCUCAACGGAUAAAAGGUACUCCGGGGAUAACAGGCUGAUACCGCCCAAGAGUUCAUAUCGACGGCGGUGUUUGGCACCUCGAUGUCGGCUCAUCACAUCCUGGGGCUGAAGUAGGUCCCAAGGGUAUGGCUGUUCGCCAUUUAAAGUGGUACGCGAGCUGGGUUUAGAACGUCGUGAGACAGUUCGGUCCCUAUCUGCCGUGGGCGCUGGAGAAUUGAGGGGGGCUGCUCCUAGUACGAGAGGACCGGAGUGGACGCAUCACUGGUGUUCGGGUUGUCAUGCCAAUGGCACUGCCCGGUAGCUAAAUGCGGAAAAGAUAAGUGCUGAAAGCAUCUAAGCACGAAACUUGCCCCGAGAUGAGUUCUCCCUGAGACUUUAAGUCUCCUGAAGGAACGUUGAAGACGACGACGUUGAUAGGUCGGGUGUGUAAGCGCAGCGAUGCGUUGAGCUAACCGAUACUAAUGAACCGUGAGGCUUAACCUUACAACGCCGAAG
rnacentral:rRNA from 1 species